GCGUUGCUCGGAAUUACUGGGCGUAAAGGGAGCGUAGGCGGACAGUUAAGUUAGAGGUGAAAGCCCAGGGCUCAACCUUGGAAUAGCCUUUGAUACUGGCUGUCUUGAGUAUGGGAGAGGUGUGUGGAACUCCGAGUGUAGAGGUGAAAUUCGUAGAUAUUCGGAAGAACACCAGUGGCGAAGGCGACACACUGGCCCAUUACUGACGCUGAGGCUCGAAAGCGUG
rnacentral:rRNA from 1 species